rnacentral:rRNA from 1 species
ACACGGGAAAUCUUACCGGGUCCGGACAUACCGAGGAUUGACAGACUGUUAACUGCAACACAAGCUGCUAAGUUUUAAACUUAAUAGCUCUUUCAUGAUUAUAUGAUAGGUGGUGCAUGGCCGUUCUUAGUUCGUGGAGUGAUCUGUCUGCUUAAUUGCGUUUCAAAAUUUAAACCUGAGCGACAAGGUGCUGCUAUCGAAACUGUCUUUGAGUGUGAACUAUAAGUCUUUUGACUUAUGACCAUCACUCUAGACGUUUAUGUUUUGGUGUUGGCCCUUGAUGCUCAUUUGAACGCAACGGACGUGAUUGCAACCCCUUGUUGAGAUUUAUCCGAUCUCUACGUUCACUGAACCACACUCUUUAGCGAGAGCAGUGGGGAUGUGGAUAAACUCGGGGGACUGCUGACUAUAAACUUUUCUCAAACCAGAGGAAGGUUGCGGCAAUAACAGGUCUGUGAUGCCCUCAGAUGU